ensembl:lincRNA
ACUGCUAUCUGGCCACACCUCCUUUUCCUUUCAUCUUUCUCAUUGACCAAUGGGCUUCAAGCAUUAAGGCCACACCCCUAUUCUGCAUUCUAGUGCAGCCCUGGUUACGCCUCCUCUGGCUCAGUCACACAGCGACGUAGAGGUGACUGGAGGUGUAUACUUGUCCUCACCUGGAUCAUGCUGAUGUGGCCCCAUCCCCACCUCCCUAUCCAUCCCCACCUCCCUACCCAUCCCCACCUCCCUACCCAUCCCCACCUCCCUACCCAUCCCCACCUCCCUACCCAUCCUAUGAUGUCCAAAGAAACCCGACAGAGCAAAUUGGCCAAGGCCAAGGAACAGUUGACAGACCAUCAUCCCCAGACCAACCCUAGUGUUGGUACAGCAGCAAGCGACACCAAAAAGAAGAAAAUAAAUAAUGGCACUAACCCUGAGACAACCACUUCUGGUGGUUGCCACUCACCUGAGGAUAAACAACAGAACCGAGCUCAGCUGGAAGAAGAACAGAAGGCAAGCCACCAACAUCAGGAAGCCCUAAGGAGGGAGCUAGAGGCCCAGGUCCAUACCAUACGAAUCCUUACAUGUCAGAAAACUGAGCUUCAGACGGCACUCUAUUACAGCCAGCAUGCUGUCAAGCAGUUGGAAGGAGAGGCCAGGGAUCUGAUCAGCCGCCUGCAUGAUUCAUGGAAGUUUGCAGGAGAGUUAGAGCAGGCUCUCUCUGCUGUCGCUACACAGAAGAAGAAGGCGGAUAGGUACAUUGAGGAGUUAACAAAGGAGAGGGACGCCCUGAGUCUGGAACUGUACAGGAACACCAUAACUGAUGAGGAGCUGAAGGAGAAAAAUGCCAAACUACAAGAAAAACUUCAACUUGUAGAAUCUGAAAAGUCUGAGAUCCAGCUCAACGUAAAGGAGCUAAAAAGGAAACUGGAGAGGGCCAAGCUCCUGCUGCCACAGCAGCAGCUGCAGGCGGAGGCGGACCACCUGGGUAAGGAGCUACAGAGUGUGUCAGCAAAGCUCCAAGCCCAGGUGGAAGAGAACGAGUUGUGGAACCGCCUGAACCAGCAACAGGAGGAGAAGAUGUGGAGGCAGGAGGAGAAGAUACAGGAGCAGGAGGAGAAGAUACGGGAGCAGGAGGAGAAGAUGCGGAGGCAGGAGGAGAUGAUGUGGGAGAAGGAGGAGAAGAUACGGGAGCUGGAAGAGAAGAUGCACGAGCAGGAGAAGAUACGGGAGCAGGAAGAGAAGAGGCAGGAGGAGGAGAAGAUACGCGAGCAGGAGAAGAGGCAGGAGCAGGAGGCGAAGAUGUGGAGGCAGGAGGAGAAGAUAUGGGAGCAGGAGGAGAAGAUACGGGAGCAGGAGAAAAAGAUGUGGAGGCAGGAGGAGAAGAUUCACGAGCAGGAGAAGAUACGGGAGGAGGAGAAGAGGCAGGAGCAGGAGGAGAUGUGGAGGCAGGAGGAGAAGAUAAGGGAGCAGGAGGAGAUAUGGAGGCAAAAGGAGAAGAUGCACGAGCAGGAGGAGAAAAUACGGAAGCAGGAGGAGANNNNNNNNNNNNNNNNNNNNAAAUAA